GUGAAAACACAAGUCAGUUGUCUGUGCUGGUGGAAACACAUGUGCACGACGGCUGCAAAUCCACACACUUGUGCACCUUUGACUAUGGGAUUCGCUUGUUCCGACUUGCAGCUGGUCGAUAUUAUGUCGAUCGGAAUCUCAUGGUAUUUUUACACACUCUAAAGUAAUGGAAUGUCUUUGUGCAUAACGCAUAUAAAUA
rnacentral:misc_RNA from 1 species